rnacentral:rRNA from 1 species
UGACUGGGGCGGUCUCCUCCUAAAGAGUAACGGAGGAGCACGAAGGUUGGCUAAUCCUGGUCGGACAUCAGGAGGUUAGUGCAAUGGCAUAAGCCAGCUUGACUGCGAGCGUGACGGCGCGAGCAGGUGCGAAAGCAGGUCAUAGUGAUCCGGUGGUUCUGAAUGGAAGGGCCAUCGCUCAACGGAUAAAAGGUACUCCGGGGAUAACAGGCUGAUACCGCCCAAGAGUUCAUAUCGACGGCGGUGUUUGGCACCUCGAUGUCGGCUCAUCACAUCCUGGGGCUGAAGUAGGUCCCAAGGGUAUGGCUGUUCGCCAUUUAAAGUGGUACGCGAGCUGGGUUUAGAACGUCGUGAGACAGUUCGGUCCCUAUCUGCCGUGGGCGCUGGAGAACUGAGGGGGGCUGCUCCUAGUACGAGAGGACCGGAGUGGACGCAUCACUGGUGUUCGGGUUGUCAUGCCAAUGGCACUGCCCGGUAGCUAAAUGCGGAAGAGAUAAGUGCUGAAAGCAUCUAAGCACGAAACUUGCCCCGAGAUGAGUUCUCCCUGAGACUUAGAGUCUCCUGAAGGAACGUUGAAGACGACGACGUUGAUAGGCCGGGUGUGUAAGCGCAGCGAUGCGUUGAGCUAACCGGUACUAAUGAACCGUGAGGCUUA